UAUAUGAAGGUGCAACGCCUCCA
rnacentral:siRNA from 1 species